UCUUCUUUUGACAAAGAGUUUGAGAGAGAUCACGGGUUCUUCUGUCUAGCCACCUCUCUCAAACCUUCAUGGCUCCUGUGUUUGGUAUUCAAAUCAGGAUUUUGAUUUUUAAUCAUUUUCCUCUCUAUUGGUUGAAGUCACUGGAACCUAGAAAGAUCAAAUCCUACACCUACAUGACCUUCAUUGAGUCCUGAAGAAUGGAGGAAGUUCUUUUGGAGCAACUUAAGAAGUCCAAAAUAUAGAUUGUCCACAAAUGUUUGUCGCAAGAGAAAAUCACAUAAGAUCGAUCACACAUGCAAUGACUCAGGGAGUCAAGCGGCUCUGGAGUGAUAUAUUUCUUAAGAAGUUAUUGUCUUGCAGUUAGAAGCUUUAUCUAGUUAGUUUCAACUAUAAAAUAGUUAAUUUUCUUCUUUUGACAAAUAGGGGUAGAUGUCUUGAACUAAGCUGAGGUUUUUUUAGAUUUCUGUAAAUGCUAAGGCUAAUAAGGCAUUUCAACAAAAUUUUCAGUUCAUUUGAUGUGCUAGGGUGGUAAUGCAAAAUGCAAAUUACCUUGAUAUAAUGUGGAGAACUGAAAGAUUAAUAAAAAAAGA